CCUGCGGAAGGAGCAUUA
rnacentral:rRNA from 1 species